GUGUAGAUUAAUGAGAAAAACUGAAUUUCAACAACUGUAGAAUCAGGCGGCAACAUAACAAAAUUGACAGAAGCAAAGGGGAUCUGAAUACUUUCUGGAUGCACUGUACAUAGGAAUAAUAUAGCUUUCUAAACCAUACUUU